UACGGAGGGUGCAAGCGUUGUCCGGAUUUAUUGGGUUUAAAGGGUGCGUAGGCGGCUCUUUAAGUCAGUGGUGAAAUCCUGCAGCUUAACUGUAGAAUUGCCAUUGAUACUGAAGAGCUUGAGUACAGACGAGGUAGGCGGAAUUUAUGGUGUAGCGGUGAAAUGCAUAGAUACCAUAAAGAACCCCUAUUGCGAAGGCAGCUUACUAGGCUGUAACUGACGCUGAGGCACGAAAGCGUGGGGAUCAAACAGG
rnacentral:rRNA from 1 species